AAGAGAGCGGCGGCCGCUCACAACAUGCACAGCCUGGCGACGGCUGCGAAAUAGAAGACCAACUUAAACUGUCAGUACACUGUGUGACACUUGGAGUUAACCAUUGGUAACUUUGACAGGAUCUCGCUUUGUUACCCGGGCUGGAGUGCAGUGGCGUGAUCUUGGCUCACUGCAACCUCCACCUUCUGGGUUCAGUCGAUUCUCCCACCUCAGCCUCCCGAGUAGCUGGGAUUACAGGCACGCGCCACCACACCAGGCUAAUUUUUGUAUUUUUAGUAGGGGCA
rnacentral:sRNA from 1 species